CCUACGGGAGGCAGCAGUGAGGAAUAUUGGUCAAUGGGCGGGAGCCUGAACCAGCCAAGUCGCGUGAGGGAAGAAGGUACUGAGUAUUGUAAACCUCUUUUGCCAGGGGACAAAGGCGGCCACGGGUGGCCGUAAGAGGGUACCUGGAGAAAAAGCAUCGGCUAACUCCGUGCCAGCAGCCGCGGUAAUACGGAGGAUGCGAGCGUUAUCCGGAUUUAUUGGGUUUAAAGGGUGCGCAGGCGGCCUGUUGAGUCAGCGGUAAAAGCGCGGGGCUCAACCCCGGCGAGCCGUUGAAACUGGCGGGG
rnacentral:rRNA from 1 species